rnacentral:piRNA from 1 species
UUCUAUAGCAAACGUAUUUUCAGAAAUGGA